UACGUAGGGUGCAAGCGUUAAUCGGAAUUACUGGGCGUAAAGCGUGCGCAGGCGGUUAUGCAAGACAGAGGUGAAAUCCCCGGGCUCAACCUGGGAACUGCCUUUGUGACUGCAUAGCUAGAGUACGGUAGAGGGGGAUGGAAUUCCGCGUGUAGCAGUGAAAUGCGUAGAUAUACGGAGGAACACCGAUGGCGAAGGCAAUCCCCUGGACCUGUACUGACGCUCAUGCACGAAAGCGUGGGGAGCAAACAGG
rnacentral:rRNA from 1 species